CCUCCUUUUCUCCGCAUUCGGGAAUCUUCCACAAUGGACGAAAGUCUGACGUCUCCCCUCCUCUUUCUUUCCUCCUUUUUUCGGCUCGUAAAGCUCUGUUGGUAGUGAAGAAAGAUAGAGGUAGUAACUGGCCUUUAUUUGACGGUAAUUACUUAGAAAGUCACGGCUAACUACGUGCCAGCAGCCGCGGUAAUACGUAGGUGGCAAGCGUUGUCCGGAUUUAUUGGGCGUAAAGCGAGUGCAGGCGGUUCAAUA
rnacentral:rRNA from 1 species